UACAGAGGGUGCAAGCGUUGUUCGGAAUUAUUGGGCGUAAGGGCGCGUAGGCGGUGCGGUAAGUCUGUAGUGAAAUCUCUGGGCUCAACUCAGAGUCUGCUGCAGAAACUGCCGUGCUUGAGUGUGGGAGAGGUGAGUGGAAUUACCGGUGUAGCGGUGAAAUGCGUAGAUAUCGGGAGGAACACCUGUGGCGAAAGCGGCUCACUGGACCACAACUGACGCUGAGGCGCGAAAGCUAGGGGAGCAAACAGG
rnacentral:rRNA from 1 species